GUAUCACGAUAACAAUUGCAACAUUCUCUACGUCAUACAAACAGUGUACUAUUACGCAACAACUUAUGUUUCGAAUAUUACGAAUAGUUUUGCAUAGAAGUAAUGCAGGAAGCGUAGAAUCUGCGGGCUGCUUAUCGAGCAGGAAACCGCGGCGCAACAGUUAAACCGAUAAGGCAUUAUGUAAGUGUACUUGGGAAAAUCAAACGCCGUAGAAUCGUUCGACCACGCGUUGGCGUUCAAUUUUUCAUCGUCUGACGAGGCUCUCGAUUCGAGCAAUCGCGGAAUAAAUAUAGAAUAAUGUAUAAUGGCGACACAAUAGAGGAUUCCAUGUUGUUCGUUACGCGAGAAUUGUUAUUGCAUCGCCAUAUGGACACGCCAUAUUGGCCACGCGAUGACUAUAAUCCUCUAAUAACGUCGACAAAGAUCUAUAGACAAUCAAAGUUUAUAUGCAUUUAUAAAAGUUUGGCUUACGAAGAGAUAUUAGAAACACACAAUUUAUUAUAAAUUACAUAUGGACAGAAAAUAACUUUGAAUUUGCUCAGCAUAAUAAUCUUUCGCACUCUGAUGAUUUCCGUAUGGAGUUAUUUAUUAUAGGCGUUUCAUAAUUUCAUUCGAGCGCAAAGAGUCGGCAGUGCAUUUCUGGAAGAAUUGAAAGGAACGUAAUGCAUUUAGAACUACGAAGUAUUACGUAAGACAUUGUUCGAAACAAUUAGAGCAUUGCUACUAUAUUGCAUUGAUCAAACAAAUUCAAGCAAAAGCGAAUAACGCUUGUAGGCUUGAUAAAUUGAUAAAGAUCGAUCGUAAGAUAGUAAUAAAAAGUGAUUUUUGUGUUACGAAAAAAGAAGCUGAUAUAAAAAUCAAAGAAAGAUAGCUCUCUAAUUGUUUGAACGGUAUACUCAAUCGAACAAUUUUAUGUAGGUUUAACGGUGUGUAUACACUUUUGUGAAAUAGCAUUUUGUAUUUUUCUGCUCCUUCUUAUCA